rnacentral:rRNA from 1 species
CGGGCGACGUGCCGGUCUAAGUCCCUUGGAACGGGGCGUCAUAGAGGGUGAGAAUCCCGUACGGGACCGGUGACCGAGCCUAUGUGAAACUCCUUCGACGAGUCGAGUUGUUUGGGAAUGCAGCUCAAAAUGGGUGGUAAAUUUCAUCUAAAGCUAAAUACCGGCCAGAGACCGAUAGCGCACAAGUAGAGUGAUCGAAAGAUGAAAAGCACUUUGGAAAGAGAGUCAAAAAGUACGUGAAAUUGUUGAAAGGGAAGCGCUUGCAACCAGACCUGCCCGCGGGUGAUCAACCGUCCUUCUGGGCGGUGCACUCGCCCGCGAUCAGGCCAGCAUCGGUUCGGGCGGCCGGAUAAAGGCCUUGGGAACGUAGCUCCUCUCGGGGAGUGUUAUAGCCCUUGGUGCAAUGCGGCCAGCCUGGACCGAGGACCGCGCUUCGGCUAGGAUGCUGGCGUAAUGGUUGUAAGCGGCCCGUCUUGAAACACGGACCAAGGAGUCUAACAUCUAUGCGAGUGUUUGGGUGUCAAACCCAUACGCGUAAUGAAAGUGAACGGAGGUGGGAACCCCUCGGGGCGCACCAUCGACCGAUCCAGAUGUCUUCGGAUGGAUUUGAGUACGAGCAUAGCUGUUGGGACCCGAAAGAUGGUGAACUAUGCCUGAAUAGGGUGAAGCCAGAGGAAACUCUGGUGGAGGCUCGCAGCGGUUCUGACGUGCAAAUCGAUCGUCAAAUUUGGGCAUAGGGGCGAAAGACUAAUCGAACCAUC